rnacentral:rRNA from 1 species
AUACGGAGGAUCCGAGCGUUAUCCGGAUUUAUUGGGUUUAAAGGGUGCGCAGGCGGCCAUUUAAGUCAGCGGUUAAAUCGUGGGGCUCAACCCCAUUCUGCCGUUGAUACUGGGUGGCUUGAUUGCGGUCGAGGUUGGCGGAAUUCGUUGUGUAGCGGUGAAAUGCAUAGAUAUGACGAAGAACACCGAUUGCGUAGGCAGCUGACCAGAUCGCAAAUGACGCUCAUGCACGAAAGUGCGGGGAUCGAACAGGAUUAGAUACCCUGGUAGUCCGCACAGUAAACGAUGAAUACUUGUUUUCGGCGAUAUAAUGUCGGAGGCAAAGCGAAAGCGAUAAGUAUUCCACCUGGGGAGUACGCCGGCAACGGUGAAACUCAAAGGAAUUGACGGG